GAUGGUCUCACCUAUGCCUCCGUCUCCUUCUCUAAGAAGAAGAAGCAGAGCAGGGCUGAAGGACAGGGUCUGGGUGGUGAUGAUGAUGAUGAAGAAGUGACGUAUCACACUGUGAGAGCUCCUCCUUCCUCUGCCGCGGUCUCUGAUGAUGCCAGUGUCCUCUACGCCACUGUCAACACACACACACAACAUGGGAAAAACUAGAAGAAGCGAGACGCCACUCUUCCACGUGCUGUCCACGCCUCGUGGGUCACAGGGCUCGCUGCUCCCUUCUCUUGGGGAAGGAAUCCAGCACACAAAGACCAACCGGAGAACCCGGGCAAAGAAAGAAAACAGGUCUCCAAGCAAGCAAUCCUCUCCAAUCCAAACGGCAUUAAUUAACUUAAACUGGUAAACUUAAAGGAGUAAAGGUAACAAAGGCAUAAAUGUUGUAUCUCUGUUCCAGCUUCUGCGAGUUGGGCUUUUGUUCCUUCGUCUGCAGCUCAAGAAAAGUCUGCAGUUAAUCUGUUUCAACUCUCGUUCUGAUCUGACAAGGCCUGGCAAUUGUCCAUUUGGACAGGCUGCUAGCGCCCUCUACAGGGGACUGCGGGGACAUGCAUUAACUCUUUCUAGGGCAGCUAAAAUCAUGGGGGUUACAUUUAUCGUUUAGCAUAUGCCUACAGCAUUUCACAAAGUUGAAUACAUCUGCACAUCUCAUAAAGUUAACACAACGUGUUUAUGUGUGAACACAGCCUCUGUGUUUUUGAAC